rnacentral:rRNA from 1 species
AUUGAACGCUGGCGGCAGGCCUAACACAUGCAAGUCGAACGAGUGGCGGACGGGUGAGUAAUGUCUGGGAAACUGCCUGAUGGAGGGGGAUAACUACUGGAAACUGUAGCUAAUACCGCAUACCAUCGGAUGUGCCCAGAUGGGAUUAGCUAGUAGGUGGGGUAAAGGCUCACCUAGGCGACGAUCCCUAGCUGGUCUGAGAGGAGGAACAGCCACACUGGAACGGAGAAACGGUCAAGAAGCCUACGGGAGGCAGCAGUGGGGAAUAUUGCACAAUGGGCGCAAGCCGGAUGCAGCCAUGCCGCGUGUAUGAAGAAGGCCUUCGGGUUGUAAAGUACUUUCAGCGGGGAGGCGUUACCCGCAGAAGAAGCACCGGCUAACUCCGUGCCAGCCGCCGCGGUAAUUC